rnacentral:lncRNA from 1 species
AGAGAAUUUCCCAUUCCUGAGCAGUUCAAGACGAUAUGGGACGGAUCCAAGCUCAUCACCGAACCUGCAGAAAUCAUGGCCUGACCUCCAAGAGAUAUCCUUCCCCGAGUCCCUCCAGCUGGCAGAAGCAAACAGCUAAUAGGAGCUAGAUUUCACCAUAGCCCCGGCGUCCAUGUCAGCGUCCUGCAGUUCUGUGCCGUGGAAAACAGUUUCUUUUCUGGCAGGCUUUUAUGGGCGUUUUGAAAUAUUUACCAUUUGAUCGUGCUUUGUGUGUGAUUUUUACUUCCACAUGAUAACUAGUGAACACAGCAGAGAGAGAGAGAAAAGGAUUCUGUUCCCAUCGGAUCACACACCGUGACACCCAUUUUGUCCUUUUGGUUUAAUUGCUAGUUGGAAAAAAAAAAUGAAGCCUUAGAGAGUCUAUGUCUGUUUUUACCUUUCAGACAACUUUAGCAUGAUGAAAUAGUCUUGUGCCCUGAAGAAUAAGACUAUUUUUUAAUUUUCACGUGUUCACCUUCAUCACCGAGGACAUCCUGUCAGUGUGAAUGUACACUUCAAUCCAUGUUUUUACACACACGUCUACACAAAGAGGAAACAGAAUUCUAAGUUUAUAGUUACUGAAAAAUGAAGGAAAUCUUAACUCCUCAUCUUAAACAUCCUUCCGCUGAGUCACUUUGAAAAUUCUUACUUGUCUGCCUUUCCCUAAGACAAAGGGUGGUGGCAGAGAGGGGUAGGGUAGGGUGGAGACUCAGUCCUCAUUUUUUGCUCUGUAACACCUUAUGGUUCUGUUCCAAGAAUAGCUCGACUGUUGGACAACCCCAUGCAGGUCUCUAAUGCUUAUCAGACAUGAGUCCCUCUUCCAAUGGCCAGGCUCCCCAGUGCUAA